AGAGUUUGAUCCUGGCUCAGAACGAACGCUGGCGGCAUGCCUAACACAUGCAAGUCGAACGAGACCUUCGGGUCUAGUGGCGCACGGGUGCGUAACGCGUGGGAAUCUGCCCUCAGGUACGGAAUAACUCAGGGAAACUUGAGCUAAUACCGUAUAAUGACUUCGGUCCAAAGAUUUAUCGCCUGGGGAUGAGCCCGCGUCGGAUUAGCUAGUUGGUGAGGUAAAAGCUCACCAAGGCGACGAUCCGUAGCUGGUCUGAGAGGAUGAUCAGCCACACUGGGACUGAGACACGGCCCAGACUCCUACGGGAGGCAGCAGUGGGGAAUAUUGGACAAUGGGCGAAAGCCUGAUCCAGCAAUGCCGCGUGAGUGAUGAAGGCCUUAGGGUUGUAAAGCUCUUUUACCCGGGAUGAUAAUGACAGUACCGGGAGAAUAAGCCCCGGCUAACUCCGUGCCAGCAGCCGCGGUAAU
rnacentral:rRNA from 1 species